UCUCGAAUUGCUCCAGCAGCCUGGAACCUAGCAUUUGCCAACUGAGAAUUUUCCAGAAUAUAUUUGCAUGCAUGGUAUGGUUGAGGAGACUGGCUUAGUGACAAAAUGGUUUCCUCAGCUGCUGCUGGAUUCAUGUGCAUCUGAAUUGAACUGCAGGCUAAUUCGACUGCUUGCAUGGUGGCUUGAAGCUGAGCCAAAUCGGCAGCUCCACUAUUCUGAUGCAUCUUCCCUCCGUGACCAAUGUCUGCAGAAGAGAGAUAGAGAGAGACGAAAUCGCCGGAAACAGUGAGGGUUUUGGAAGCGCGCGGAUAUUUG
rnacentral:misc_RNA from 1 species